GGCAUGUGAGGGAGCAGAGUGCAGAAGGCAGACGGGGGAAAGGAGAGACGGAUCAAUACGAGUCAGGAAAUAAGGGACAAAGGUAUGCAUACAUGACUCCUUCGAUGGCCUGUGCCGAUGGGGGAGGCAGUGGGAAAGGCAGCCAUGGAAGGAAGGAAGGAAGGAAGGGAGAGACAAGACAACAGAGAAAAACAAAGACAAUUUUAUGCAUGAAGGGGUGCAGCGAGGGAUAUUUAUCACCUGCACCCAUUUGGCAUUUUGGAGAGUCGCCUUGUGUUGAAGUUGGAGGACAGCCACACCUGGGCUGUGCCAUUGGAGAGACGACGCUACGAUUUUGGUGUUAG